UGGUGGUGUACACCCAUUCAACCACACUCAGUCAAUUUGAGGACAUAUGAGGAAUGCCACAGGAACUCAGCCAAGCCACCUGCAGCUGACGGUUGUCACAGAAAAGGAGUCAGAGCAGAGGGCCAGAAGGCACAGAUCCAGGUGACAUUCACCAGCCUCACUUUCUGGUAGGUGGGGUGUAAUGAAUGCCAUGUGUAGGUCUCACUCUUACCCUGACUUUCAUCCUCUGGCUGAUGGAUAAGGGAAAUGGUGCUUUGGAGUAUCGGAAGCGUCAGAUGGAAGGAGACUUCAUCGCUGAACAGGUCUGCUGGAGACCCUGGAUCCUACACAAUGAAUGACAACUGGAGGGGAAAACAAGCUUUGUGGUCAGCCAAUGGUAUUCAGAGAAGUCUACCCAAUCCCUUCCAUUUUUGGAAACAAAGUGUGACAAGAAAGGAACAGUGUGGACCUUGUACCUAGUAUACAGAGGUGAAUGAGAAAUAAUCCUAUAGUUCACAGGCCAGCCCCGCAAGAAAAGCAGUGUGCUGUCCCAAAUGUUGAAGGUUAUCUCUAAGAGACUGAAUUUCAUUGUGUAGUAUUAUUGUAUGUCUGAGGUAAUACUAUAGUAAAUGGCUGUGAACAUUAAUGGGAGGAUAUUUCGAUUAUUCAUUCAACAUGCUCUUAAGUAUCUGUGACAUGCCAGGCAACUUUCAGAGACACUGGAGAUACAGAAGAGCAUGGGUCAUGGUCUUUGUUCUCAUGAAGGCUGUGUUUUACAGUGGAUGUGGGGGGAGAAUAAACAACCCCCGUAGAGCAUCAACAGCAUCAGCAAGAACGACUAUGGAGGCAGGAAACCAAACCUGAGAGAGAAAAGCCUUCAGGGAAGCGCUCCAUCUGCAUCUCGGACUGAGAGUACUCUGGGUGUGGCAAAGGCACCAUGGCGAGAAUUCUGCCUCAGCCUCACUCUGCAGCCUGGACCUGUUGCCCCAGCGUUAGACUCAGGACUCCGCUGCCCACCGCCUCUCUUUACAUGGAUGUCCUGGAUCAUGUGAAACUUCACACACCUCAACAUGGAUUUGGCAAUUGUUGCCUUUUCCUCUCUUACCCCUCAGCUUGGCUCUGUUGAUUGUCCUCAAUCUCAGCAUCACCCACCCAUGACCUCAGUGUCAUUUUGGGUAUCUUUCUCCUCUUUAGUUUCACCACUCAAAUCUUGCCGAACUUACUCUGCGUAGCUUUGAAUCCCCGCCCCAUCCCUAUUUCCAUCAAAACCCAGUCUCCGAUGGCCACUUUCCUUCCCUUCAACAAUGUCAUAGUUUGUCUAAAAAGGAAGUCAAGGCUCAGAGUGGGGACAGUCCAUCUCUUGGGGUCUAGCAGGAAAGGUAGUAGUGUCUUUCCUUUUCUUCAGGAGGAGAGAUGUGCAAAUACUACCCCGGCUACACUUUUUGACCCCGAGGACUAGGUUGUCAGUGGAUGUCACUGCCAUCCAUUUAUUCAAAAUCCUGCUAGAGCCUGACCCGGAGUCUGAAUACGAGCCACACUAUACUCAGUUGCCUCCCAACAUAGAGAAGGGUGCUGGCAUUGCUAUUCUGUCCUAACCGUUAUCAGGUGAGUCACUUGUCAUCAGUGAGGGUGGGGGAGGCACUACAAGUGAUGGCUCUACACAGAACUAUUCAACCCUUGUGCGGAAUUAGCCAGAGAAAGAAGAUGGCCUUACAUUAUUUUAAGUGUCUCUCUGGAACCACGCACUGUGAAUCUGUGGAUUUAAGCAACCUUGGCCUGGAAGGAGUCAGGAAAAUUUGGAUGUGUACUGAACAUGGCCAAGGUUUUUAAGUCUUGUCAUUAGCCCAUGAAGAAUACAGUGUAGCAACUGCUUAUGUGGAAUUGUCAAUAUAUUAGAGAUUAUAAGUAAUCCAGGGAUGAAUUAAAGUACACAGGAGUAUGUUUAUAUGCCACGUGCAAAUAUUAGACUUUUAUUUUUAUGAUUGUACUACUAAAAUGCUUUUAUUCUUUACAAAUUUCAGGUUGGGCGGUGGUGGUACACACCUUUGGGAGGCAGAGGCAGGAGGAUCUCUGAGUUCAAGGCCAGCCUUAUCUACAAACAAUACAAGAAUUUCAUAAGUGUAUACAUUGAAAGAUGAUUCCGUCCCUUCCCACCUUCAUAUCCUUUUUUAUUUCCUAAGCCACUGAAUCUCAUUAGUGCUGCCCAUGUGUGUAUCCGUGUGGGUCAUUCACUGCAGUUUGAGAAACCUCCUCGUGUUGUGGCCACAGUCGGUAGAGACUGAUGAUUGUCCCUUUCCUUGCAGCUCUCAGCUGCCAGCAACACCUCAUCAAGGGGCGAGAACGACCUUUCGGCUGACUUGGUUUGUGCCGAUGGAGAUAACCAUAGCCUAUGAGUCAGGAGUGCAGUGGCCAUGCCACGUCUAGGGACAGCAGUUUAUAGCACCCCUCUCCAUCUUCCGGCUCUUCCAUUAUUGGUUACUUCCUCUGUGCCAUUUUCUGGGUCUGGGGAGGGGGAGGGGAAUGGGUAAUAAAGAUGUUCCAUUUAGAUGUAAGUA